rnacentral:rRNA from 1 species
AUUGAACGCUGGCGGCAUGCUUUACACAUGCAAGUCGAACGGUAACAGGCCGCUAGGUGCUGACGUGAGGCGCACGGGGGAGUAAUGUACCGGAACGUGUCCAGGCGUGGGGGAUAUCUCCUCGAAAGAGUAGCUAAUAUCCCACACGCUUUCUGGAGGAAAACGGGGGAGCGUAUGGGCUCGCGCGAUUGGAGCGGCCGAUGUCUGAGUUGGUAGUUGGUGGGGUAAAGGCUCCCCAAGCCAACGAUCUGUAGCUGGUCUGAGAGGACAACCAGCCACACUGGAACUGAGACACGGCCCAGACUCCUACGGGAGGCAGCAGUGGGGAAUUUUGGACAAUGGGCGCAAGCCUGAUCCAGCAAUGCCGCGUGCGGGAAGAAGGCCUUCGGGUUGUAAACUGCUUUUAUUCGGGACGAAACGGCGCUGGUUAAUACCCUGGGCUAAUGACGGUACCGUAAGAAUAAGCACCGGCUAACUACGUG